UACAGAGGUGGCAAGCGUUGUUCGGAAUUACUGGGCGUAAAGGGCGCGUAGGCGGUUCGUUAAGUCCUGUGUGAAAUCCCCCGGCUCAACUGGGGAACUGCACAGGAAACUAGCGGGCUUGAGUUCGGGAGAGGGAAGCGGAAUUCCGGGUGUAGCGGUGAAAUGCGUAGAUAUCCGGAGGAACACCCAUGGCGAAGGCAGUUCACUGGCAGUCAUCUGACGCUGAGGCGCGAAAGCGUGGGUAGCAAACAGG
rnacentral:rRNA from 1 species